GCAAUUAUCCUGUCUCAGCCUCCCGAGUAGCUGGGACUACAGGUGCCGCCACCAUGCCCAGCUAAUUUUUGUAUUUUUAGUAGAGAUCAGGUUUCACCUUGUUGGUCAGGCUUGUGUUGAACUCCUGACCUCAGGUGACCUACCCGCCUUGGCCUCCCAAAGUGUUGGGAUUACAGGUGUGAGCCACUGCGCCCGGCCUAUAUCUGAAUUUUUAAGAACUAAGUUUUACAUUUGAAGGUAAUGUAAAUAAUAUAUACAUUUAUGAAUAUCCUUGGUUGCAUUAUUUUUAAUAGAUUAAUACUUAUAAUAGUAUGAAUCUACAUUAGCUAAAAAUGACCUUAUGUAUAGUUGAUUUAGUUCUGGUCAUUUUAUCAUUUUGAUAAAUUAUGAAAUUAUAUCAUUGCAUAGACUGGUUGAUUUUUAUACAAUUGUUUGUGUGACUAAUUGGGGAAAGACUGGAAUGCUUACUACAAGGGUGAUUUAGUUUUUGAGUUUAAACACAAGCUAAGGUUUCAAUUUCCUGCAGUGGAAGUGCUUUCUGAGCUUGCCUGAAUAGGACUAAAAUCGUUCUAGCCAAAGAGGUGUUGAAUAAUGAUGAAUUUUUCUUAAGGUCAGCUGAUCUAUUUUUAAAGAUAACAUAGUGAAUGAGAAUCAAAGCUUAUCAUUUCUGAAAAAUGACAAUAAUAAUAAAUUGCAAUAUACUUUUAAAGAGUAGCAGUUAUAUUUGGACAGAACUUUAUUUUUUCCAGCAUGUGAAUCAUUACCUAAUAAUAUUUCAUUUAAUUAAUCAGAAAAUUGUGAGUCAAUAGCUCUGCUUACAAAACCUAUAAACAGAAACUCCAAUUCAACCUUAUCGCUACUAAAUUUUAAUGUUAAGAGACAACACAAAUUAAUUAAAGACAAAAUGAUUCACAAAAUAAUUACAGCCUCUUGUUGCCUUAGGGAAUAAUAAAGAACUAACUUAUUUCAGUAGUGAGGCUAUUAAUGGUGUGCAUGACAAAGAGAUAAACCCAAGUAUAGUUAAUUCCAUUUAAAAAUUGCCUCUGGCAAAUGAAGAAAAUAAGUGAAGAAAAGAAGUGCUUGUGUAUAUAUGUGUGUGUAUAUACAUAUAUGAAGUGAGAGAAUUAGUAAAUUUUAACCUAAUUUGUUUUUUAAAAUAAUUAAUGUAUAGGCCUUUUCUGUUGUGACUUUGAAAAAGUAUUUGAAAACACUAUAUUUAUUUUGCUGUUUAUUUAUUUAUAAUCUAUAUAUCUAUUAUAUAAUCUAUAAUUAUGUAUCUAUUAAAUUAUUUAUAAUUUAUUAAUGAUUAUAUAAUUGCACAUGAGCACUGCUACUUUUUCAUUUUGUGUUUUUAAUAUAAAAUUCCUGUAUUUUACAAAUUUUUAACUAAAACAGCUACAUUUAGUUCAUUAGAGAGUUUCUUAAAAGUUUCUAAAAUUUCAAAAUAUUUUGUUCUAUCUUUUUUGUUUAGAAUUUACAUCCUUCCUGUUUUUCAAAAAAAAUUGAAGUGGCUUAUGAGAUUACGCAUAAUACAAAAUAAGAGAGUUAGAAAUAGAAUGAACAGAUAUCAUCUAAACCAUAGCAGAGGGAAUGAGGUGAACAGACACCCAACAUGAGUUGAUAGAACUGGGGCACUGAUCUUUGCUCUAACUUUCCCGUCAGCCAAGAAGAAAAGGAAAAAUUUACAAAAGUACAGAACUUUAAUUUCUGACUAGAGAAAGCAUUAGGAUAUUAGGGUUUUUUUUUUAAAUUUACUGGGCUCAAACUCAGAUUGUGUUUUGGUAUCUUGUCUAAGGGAUGUUGUCUAAGGUACUGAGAAGUAUUUUUGCUCCAAUUUGAGACACACACAUUCAUUCUGUUCAAAUAUCAUCAUAAAAUUUCAUGCCUCCAAUUAGAGGCAUGGGAUGCAUGGCUCAAGGAUCUGGCACAGCAGGCUGGCAGUCCCAACCACCUGCUUUUGCAGGAGCCUUCCCCUUCCCCUGCCAAGGGGUUUUACUCCACUGGGCAGUAAUUGAACUAGUCUCCCUGGUGGAGGAACCACUUGCAUAAGAGUAAGAGGUUCUUCCCUAGGCAUUUUUAAACUGUUUUUUUCCUUUCCUCUUCUCCACCCCAUCAGCAGUUUUUAAGCAAGUUUUGUUUUUUUCCUUUUAGAAGAUGUUUUGCUAUGCCAGGCCCCCCAACUGUCACUGUUUAUAUUUUCUGUAAAGCUUUAAUUGUGAAAAAGGGUUUGUGGGGCUAGUCUUGGGCUGUGGCCAAUCUGGUGUGCCAAUUAAUGCUUUCUUAUUUGAAAAGUAAUACAUGUGUGUAGAAAUAAGAAUGUAAACGACCAAAAUGGCAUAAAAUAAGAAUGUUAAAUUAUUUAAUAAAAAGUUAAAGUAUUUUUAGAUUCCUUACUUUCUCUCACCAUCAGUCCCUUCCUCAGAAGUAGCAACUUAUGGUAUUUUAAGUUCUUUUGGUGGUUAUGUCUAUAACACUAAAUAAUAUAGUUACACUUUAUUUCUUGAUUGUCAAUUUAAGCAGUAUUUACAGAUUUUCUAAAAUUGAUAAUGAAGGGGGCUCACUUAC
rnacentral:lncRNA from 1 species